ACAAAAAUAGAACUAUAGAAGAAAAGAAACGGAGACGGACAGAGAGAAGCUCCUCCCUCUCGUGCUCUCUGCACCUUAUCUUCGACCCCCACCCAAAACCAAAAUAUAUACUCCUACAUAUAUAACACUAAAGCUGGAUCAUAUUAGUAGUAGUAUUAACUGGUCCUGAUACAAGCAAAUAUUAUUGUAAUCAAUCAUUCCCCAUCCCUCAUCCUAACUGCUGCUAGCUGUUUCUACAAGACCACCCCCAAAACCCCGACCCCUUUUUCCCUCUUCUAACUUGUACCACAUCCUAGAGGGGAAAAAUUAAAAUAAAAAGACUUGCAAGCAAAGCAAACCAGACGAACUGUUGUCUCACCGACUUAUCAAGCUUCUACUCUCCUCCAGCUUAAUUACAGGGAGUAUAUAUCAUAUAUGUGCAGCGGCUUCUUGAUGAUGAUGGUGAUGAUAUAUGUGGAGGCAGGUGAAGAGUAGCCUCUGAUGUAGCAAUAGCGGUAGUAUAUGCCACUACUAGGGAUUAUAGAGUAGGUCGCAGCCUAGCUAGAGCUAGAGCUAGAGCUACAGGGAGGGAGGGAUUAAUCAAUCAUGAAUCAUUGCGUUCCGGAUUUUGAAAUGGAUGACGAUUAUGGAAUCCCUACUUCUUCUUCCGCAGCCUCCUUAAUUAUUGCCAGUACCACUGCCAGACCCAAGAAGCCAGCAAUAGGUGAAGAAGAGAUCAUGGAGCUGCUAUGGCAGAACGGGCAGGUGGUCUUCCAAAGCCAGAAUCAAAGAUCAUUCAAGAAAUCUCCCAACCGCGGCCGAGAGCCUGAUCAACUACACCAAUCCGGUGCUUCUAGAGAGAUCCCAUCCAUACUAGAAAAUGACAACCUAUCGGCGCCGCCGCCGCAGCAGCUCUUCAUGCAAGAAGACGAGAUGGCCUCUUGGCUUCACUAUCCUCUCGACGACUCCUCCUUCGACCGCGACCUCUACUCCGAUCUCCUCUAUCCUCCGCCGCCUUCAGCUUCCACCACCAUGACGCCAACUCCCUCCGCUCCUCCCAGAGAACUCCGCACAACUGUCGUGGAGAUCCGCCCGCCGCCAGCCGUUAUUCCUCCUCGACCCCCUGUACCUCCUCCUUCGAAACGCACCUACCCAAUAGAGGCAGCUGCUCCUAGGCUUCAAAACUUCAUGCACUUCUCCAGACUGCCCAAAUCCAGGAACGAGUCCGGAUACACGAGGGAAUUGACGGUGGUGGACUCCAAUGAGACGCAAAAAACGGUGCCGGAAUCGAGGGUUCCUGAAGGGGAUGUAAGAUGCGGAGCCGUGAGCUGCACUGCAGCUGCGGCUACCUCUGCUGCAGCUAGGGACUUGGCGACCACGGCCUGUGAACUCACCGUCACGUCGUCCUCCGGGGCCUCCGGGGGUAGCGUCAGUGCAACCGCGGAGCCGCAUCACCGGCCGCCGACUUCAAUUCAUAAACCGAGCACGUCCGGGGAGGAAGACCGGAAGCGUAAAGGAAGAGAAACGGAGGAGACGGAUUGUCCUAGUGAGGAUAUCGAGUUUGAGUCAGCUGAUGCAAAAAGGCAAGCCCGUGGAUCAACAUCUACAAAGAGAUCCCGUGCUGCAGAGGUUCACAAUCUCUCAGAAAGAAGGCGUCGAGACAGGAUAAAUGAAAAGAUGAGGGCCUUGCAAGAACUCAUACCUCGUUGCAACAAGUCAGACAAGGCUUCAAUGCUGGAUGAGGCGAUUGAGUACUUGAAAUCGCUACAGCUGCAAGUGCAGUUGAUGUCAAUGGGAUGUGGCAUGCUCCCGAUGAUGUAUCCCAGUGUACAGCAGUACAUGCCAGCAAUGGGUAUGGGCAUGGGCAUGGGCAUGGGCAUGGAUUUGGGUAUGAACCGUCCAGUGAUGCCAUAUCCAUCUCUUAUACCCGGUUCGGGAAUGCCAAGCCCGGCUGUAGCAGCAAACAUGGGGCCAAGAUUUCCCAUGCCAGCAUUUCAUAUGCAACCGGUUCCGGUUCCUGACUCUUCCAGAAUCCAAGCUUCCAAUCAGCUGGAUCCAAUGCUGAACUCACUAGUGACGCCUAAUCCAAAUCAGCCACGAGUUCCAAAUUUUGCUGAUCCCUAUCAGCAGUUCAUUGGUCUCCACCAAGCACAAAUACCAUUACCACAGAAUCAAGUGGUAGUACAGCCCAGCAAGCCGAAUAGUAGCAGAGAAGUUGGGAAUCUUGAUAAUCAUCAAUCUGGUUAGUCGGGGGUGGAUUGAUGGCAAAGCCGUCCAAGAACUAAAUUUUGUAGCCUAAUGGAGGAAAGGAGACUCAGUUGAGCUCGAUUGUAAGCCGGCCUCACCCUGUGAUUUGAGAGCUGUAGUAUUUACUAAAAUAUUGUUUGAGGCUCCCACCCAUGGCAAGAGAGAGAAUAAAUUCUAGUUGCCUCCCGCUCUUGUUCCCUUGAACAUCCAUGCUCAUCGCCUAUCUUUCAUAGCUGUUUUGUUCUGGAUGAUUUAUUCCCUUCCGGAGCUCAUUUUCAGGUGGAUGACCGAGUUGUGUAGCUGAGUAAAUAGUAGUUAUACUCUGUGGAGUUUCGUUUAGACUUAAUCAAAAGCACCCGUAGACGGCUAUAUAGAGCUGUCACCUGUUCCUAAUAAAUACCAAUUCAUGUUUUUGCUUCUGC